UUUUUGGCGCCCACACACACAUAAUUGUAGUCAAGUCUUCAACUUUCAAGUCUCCAUAUAUAUAUAUUUUUUAUUUUUUUUCUUUUGAAGCUCACUACAUUUCAAGGAAUCAAAACAAGAAGUUUAGAGGGGAAGAAAAUAUAUUUUAUAGACUUAAUUUUCAAAAAUUAAUUAAGAUAAUGAUUAAUAACGAUUCUUUUUUUUUUUUUUAAAAAAAAAAAUUGAAUCUAUUUUCUUUCAUAUCCUUACAAUAGUAUGGAUACGAGAGAAAAUAUCCUCAUAUUCAAGGGAACAUGGAAGAGAAAUUGCUAGAUGGACUUGCUCAAAGAUUGGUUUCGUGGAUUAGAUCGACACAGUCAGACUCGAAAAAGAAAUAUGGAAUAGAAAGAUUCAGGCUUUAGGUGCUACCACUUUUGUCGAGACAACAAAUUUUGCGGAUGCUGAAGCGUGACUUACUUUGAUUGAAAAGUGUUUUAGAGUAAUGAGAUGUCUUGAGGACAGAAAAGUGGAACUUGAAUUUUUUUCUCUUCAAAAUAGGUCUGAAGAUUGGUGGUGCAUGAUAGAAAGUAGACGGAAAUCUAUAGGUGAUAUAAGUUUGGAUGAGUUUAAAAAGACAUUCUUUGAUAAGUUUUAUCCACGCUCUUUUCGUGAUGAAAAACAAAGUGAGUUCUUGAAGCUUAAUGAUUGUUGCUGAAUAUGAGAAGAAAUAUACAAAAUUAUCUAAGUACGCCACUAGUGUGAUUGAGGAUGAGAUUGAAAGGUGCAAGCAAUUUGAAGAGGGAUUACGAGAGGAAAUUCGUACUCUUGUGACAGCUUGUGCAGAUUGGGUUGAUUUCUCAAAGUCAAUGGAGGCAGCACUAAGAGUAGAGAAAAGUGUAUAUGAAAGAAAGCGUGAAAGAGAAGCUUCCAAGAAUGUGUGUACAGUGUACAUCAAACAGUCAUCGAAACUGCUCAGGUAAUGAAAAAAGUGGAAGAUUUGUACUGGGGGUGCCCAGUAGAGGAAAUUUUAAGUCUCAGUACAGUGGUUCAUCUUUUUCUAAGUCUGGAUCAGGUGGAGGGACUCAGAGACCGAGCUGUUCUAGUCAUCCUAUAUAUCCUACAAGAGCUUCUCAUGUUGUUCAAUCUGAUAAGGUAGUGUCAAGGUCUAGCAAGAGGAGUGUAUGUUAUAACUAUGGUCAACCAGGUCAUUAUCGUAGAGACUAUCUACUUUUGAUACCGGAGAACAAUACCAUUCAGAAAACUACUUCUCAGACAGGAAGUCAACAACCAAAAACCACAAGAACAAGGGGUGAAGGCUCUAGUGGGGUAAAACAAAAAGGAUUGGUGGGAUCUCGUCAGGAAUGGAAGGUUUUUGCAAUGACACAAUAGGAGGCAGCAAAUGCACCAAACAUUGUGACUGCUUCAAAUAUUUGGGUUUCUUUUCAAAUAUUUGGGUUUCUUUAAAACUCAUCACCACGGACACAAUGUCGGAUACGGCGAAAUCACCAUUAUCUAAAUCUAUGAUGGAUAGCGAGAAUGCGAGUGCUACUGGUAAUAACAAUAUGCCUCUUCCCCUUCCUCAUUCUCCUCCUCAAACUACAUACUGUAUCAUCUCUACCUCCCAAGUCCAAAAGAAAGAGACCUAAUAAACAAAUUAUUCCGUGUGGGAUCAUUUCACAAAAAUGGAAGCAAGUGUUAACAAUGGAGGAGGCUGCAAGUGUAAUUAUUGUGGCAAAGAUUAUGCAUGUGAUAGUAAUAUUUGUGGAACUAGCACUUUGAGGAAACAUUAAAGAAAUCAAUGUAAAAAGUACAUGUAUAGAGAAGAGAAUAAGGACAAACUACCUUAACUCUUAUACCUACAAAGGAUGGAAAGGGAGCCAAUGCGCCAACAACCAUGUAGACUAGCAUAAAUGGAAGCAAGUGUUAACAAUGGAGGAGGCUGCAAGUGUAAUUAUUGUGGCAAAGAUUAUGCAUGUGAUAGUAAUAUUUGUGGAACUAGCACUUUGAGGAAACAUUAAAGAAAUCAAUGUAAAAAGUACAUGUAUAGAGAAGAGAAUAAGGACAAACUACCUUAACUCUUAUACCUACAAAGGAUGGAAAGGGAGCCAAUGCGCCAACAACCAUGUAGACUAGCAUGUGCUAAGAUGAUAAUUAUGGACGAUUUGUCAUUCAGAUUCGUUGAGUAUUUUGAGGGUUUUAAACACUUUUGUAGUAUUGCAUGUCCUAGGUUUGAUGUUCCAUCAAGAGUAACGAUUGCUAGAGAUAUAUAUCAACUAUAUCUUGAAAAGAAGAAAAAAAAUGAAAUCAUUUUUACUUAAAA